rnacentral:lncRNA from 1 species
UGUUGCUUGUGUCCUCAUUCCAAUCAUAUUGACUCUAAAGAUGCUACAAAGACACUAGGAAACUAUACAAUGUAAGCCACCUAUUUUCAGGGGAAAAAAGACAUAUACAAAGAUAUGACACAUGCACAUGAUUGGAAAAACAGAAAGAAACCAAUAGUUUAUUCAGCGUAUUAUUGUAAAAGACAUCUCCGUGUGUGUGUGUGAGAAGAGAGAGAGAGAGAGAGAGAGGGAGAUCUUCAUCUCAUGUUAUUUGUUCACGCAUAUCUGUUAUUCCUUAUUUUGCUCUUGGAAUAUUCUUUUUUCUUUGCUGCAUAAUUACAUAUUUCAAUCAGUGAGUCAAUUAGUUAUAGAAGUUUCGAUCUACUUUGAUUUCUUCCUUUGAGCUUGAUGUGUUUCCAAGAA